CUUUCGCAGCACAACUAUGGCCGAGUAUGAAUAUAGUUUAGGAAACUUCAUGUUUACAGAGAUAUCUAUAAUCUGGGAUCCAUUCCAGGGAGAAACUCUUAAAAAAUAGAAAUCAACAAUCCUAUGCAUAAAUAUGCGAUUGCUGUUUUAAAGGACGGUGCAGUAGUUGGACACGUGCCUCGAAAAAUAAGUAAAGUUGUAGCAUUCUUUUUAACAACAUUGGAGGGGGGGGGGGCUUUGAAAUGCAUUGUAAAUUGAAACUAUCACUACUCCUAAGAUACCGGUAUUGGUGAACUAGAGAUACCAUGUAUUAUGAAAUUCAGUGCGGAACCAAGAGAUUGCUAGAAAGAUUAAAAACAAAAACUCUGUUAUCAGAAAGGAGGAACAAUCCUGCACAUCAUUUGUGGAAACGGAAGAAUUAGAGGCAGAACAGGAGGAACAAUCAUGAACAUCAUUAGUUGAAAUGGAAGAGUGAGAGGCAGAACAGUCAUUUCACCCAAGGAGGCAUGCAUAUGGAUUUAGGCUGUGAAAAAGAACCCCAAACAAAAUGGCGGCUGGUGAAUUAGAUAAAGUUUCUGAGUGUAGGAUCUGAACGGAGAAUAGGAAUACUGCAUCCCAUCUGACCCUGCAGGAAGAAAGACCUCUGGCAAAGACAAGAACAAAGGAGGGAGAACAUUUC